AAGGAUUCCUUUAGUAAUGGCGAAUGAACAAGGAAAAGCUCAUGCUGACAAUUUAGACUUUUGUCUUAAAUUGCAAUGUAGAGUUGCCAUGGCAAUGGAAGUGUUCAUGUGUGCCUCUUGGGGGGGAGCAGCAAUGAAGGUGAAACUCCUGUGUGUCAUGAUCAAUCUUUCAUGCAUGGCUGGCAUCUAAGAGUCGCGUUUCUUGGAAGUGAAGCGCAAAACUGGUGGUAGAAUUCAUCUAAAGCUUAAUAUUGGUUUGGGCCCGAUAGUAAACAAGUACCAUGAGGGAAAUGUGAAAAGGACUUUGAAAAGAAAGUUAAAAGUACUUGAAAUUGCUGCAAUGAAAGCAAAUGGUUCUUAGUGUGAUAGCAAGAUUGAAGUGUGCUAGUCUGUGCCUCCUGGUGCUUUGCACCUUAGGUGUAGGCUGUGCUCACUUUGUGUCUUGCUGCCCUGCUGUAACCAGGUUGCAUUGUCAACAUGGUAUGCAUGUUACAGUGGUCAUUGAUUGACUGCCUACUGCUUAUUAUUGACAUUUAACCUGCUGCUGUUGCCAGCUGGCACUCCCACACCUCAAAUGUGUGGCUGUGCAUGGUGACUGUGUGAGUUUCCUGAUUCAUUUGACCCGUCUUGAAACACGGACCAAGGAGUCUGAUGCAUGUGCAAGCUUGUGUGUGUAUGUCCUUGGGCGUAAUGGAAAUGACAGUUGGGAAAUGUGCACCAACAGCCAACUGACCAAUUGAGGGAGGUUUGAGUUUGAGUACAUGCAUUAGGACCCGAAAGAUGGUGAACUAUGCUUGAGAAGAACGAAUUCAGGGGAAACUCUGAUGGAGGUUCGCAGCGCUUCUGACGUGCAAAUCGUUCGUCAUACUUGGGUAUAG
rnacentral:rRNA from 1 species